CGGAACGGGGCCGCGGGCGGUAAAAGACCAAAGAACCCAGGGAAAAAACCAACCAACCAAACCAAACCCGGCAUCCGUCACUCGGGCGGGUGAAUGUGGUCGGUCCGGCUGGUGCAGCGGCCCUUGGAGCGUGCAGGCUCAGCCCGAGGCGGUCGCGGCAUAUGCGCCGGACGAACGCCCUCAUGACUCCCCAUAUGCAUCGGCCCCCGCCGGGACGGCAAUCCCAGUGCGAGGGCCUGACCAACGAGGAAGAAGUGAGCUUCCCC
rnacentral:ncRNA from 1 species